GGCGCGCUAUGGACCCCGCCUCGCGGAGACGCCUGGCUCGGGCCUUGUCCCCAGUGAGCGGCUGGAGCGGCCGCGGGGUCGCAGAGCCUCCGGGACCCCGAGGAAGGGCGCCCCUCGGAGUUGCCCGAGGCCGGGCCCGGCGUCCACUCGCCACUCGCCUCGCCCCUCCCCGGCCCCGCACCGCCCUCCACCCCGCCUCCUUCGGGUUCCUUCUGCGUCCGGCAGAGCCUGCGCGCCUCCCCCGGACGGCCACGGACUCGCAGCCUCGGCGAGGACGCUGCCUGCGUCCCGACUGCCUGGACCUCCCCGCGUGGCUCCCGGCGAAGCCCAGCAGCCGGAGGGUGCCAGGUCCGCCUGACGCGCCCCUCCCCACGGGAAGAACGGGGCGGGGGUCCAGGAGGGACGUAAGCCGGGCUCCCCCGGCGUGUUGAUCCGAACCCGCGCGGGAAAACUUGCGCAAACCAAAGGAGGGAAGAGUCAGGCAGCCCCCAGCCCCCCAGGGAGGCCCAGGUGAAAAACAGACGCCGGCCUCGCCUCUCCCGGUGCGGAUGAUCCCGGCACUCCCACCCCCGCCCCUGCUGCCCCGAGUUCGGCUCCCUCAGCCCCACAUCCUCUCUGGUCAUCUAAGUGGACUGCAGCUGCUCAGGGAGCAUGUCGCGAAGGAUAGGGAAGGACAGGGGGUCUGCUUCCCCAGCCGCCCUCCAGACCCCCAGGGCUGGUAGGGGCCGGCAACCCUAUGCCCCAACCUGGCCUGCUGCAGGUGAGGGGGGCACACCAGGGUAACACAGGAGCAGGAGGGGGAGAAAGCCUGGCUAGAGCAUCCACCUCAUAGGCACCUUCCUUGUGUCCAGGGUGCAGAUGCCAGGGCUCUGAGGCCCUGAGGUCCUGUCUGGGGCGAGGGGGCUUCCUCCAUCCACUGCAUCCACUGCCCGGCUGAGUCUAGAGGCCACUGAGCAAGCAGACCCUCCAAAGCCAGGCACACUCAGGCCCUCACAUGGUCACGGUGCUUAUGCUCUGGGCCAGCCUGGAUUGCUCAUCCCUAGCUGAGAUUGGGAUUCACAGGGUCUUCCAGUUCCCCCUUUUCUUUCUCUACUGAUUGAGAAACACAGAGUCCUUUGAUUGCUCUGGGACCUGGCCAUUGCGUGUUCCCUGCAGCCUUGAACCCAGUUCAAUGGGGCCGGGCACAUUCCCUGAUAAAGCUGUUUAGGUUGCUUGAAAACACAAUCAACCCUAUUGCUAAACACGUAGAAACUGGCCCUGCCCUGAGUCCAAUCCCUUAAACUCUCAUCUAAGCUCCAUAGCCAGAGUCCCUUGCUGCAAAUGUACCUGGGUGGAGCAUCCCUUGCCUCAUCAUCGAUCCCAAGAAAGCUGAAGCUCCAUGUGAAAAUUUCCGGAAGAAAUGCUCUGGACUGAUCACCCUGGCGUUUAGAGCUUCUUUCCUUGGAAUCCCAACCAAUUCCAUCGCGGGACUGUUUGGGGAAGUCUUUUGAGGCAACUCCCUUGCUGCCACUUUUGGGGCAACUCUAGCCUCCUCAUAUUUGGCCAGAUAGAACAGUUCCAAGCUGUAAAUGUUUCCAGGAAAAAAUCUCAACUACAAAGACACUUUCAAGGUGCUGCAUUUCCAACAGCACUCUCCGUAUCCGAGUGGACAGCCCAGAGCAAUGGUGCUUCCAAUCCACAGAGCCCCUCCACAGGUCCCUUGCCAUCUGCAGACACCCACAUCUCAAGACGGGGUUUCUCCAUGUUGAGGCUGGUCUCGAACUCCUGACCUCAGGUGAUCUGCCUGCCUCAGCCUCCCAAAGUGCUGGGAUUACAGGCGUGAACCACCGCGCCCGGCCUAGGAUUUCCUCCUUUGACGAUGAAUAGUUCUCCACUGUAGUCUCACUCUUUCUCCCAGGCUGGAGUGAAGUGGCGUGCUCUCAGCUCACUGCAACCUCCACUCGCCGCUCCACUCCCUGGUUCAAGCAAUUCUCCUGCCUCAGCCUCCCAAGUAGCUGGGAUUACAGUCCGGCUCUGUCAUCCAGGCUGGAGUGCGAUGGUGCCAUCUCGGCUCACUGCAACCUCCGACGCCCAGGUUCAAGCGAUUCUCCUGCCUCAGCCUCCCGAGUAGCUGGAACUGCAGCCAGAGACCUCCACGGCCGGCAACGCCCCUGCGCAAGGCCUCACGGCUCCAGGCUGUUGGAGGUACCUGCCCACUCAACCUGGGCUGGCUGUUGGAGGUACCUGCCCACUCAACCUGGCGGGCUGUGCGUGGCUUGUGCUUUGGGCUGGAUCCCACGCUCGCCAUGGGAUCUGCACUCGGACUGCAGCUGGGCCGGGCAUGCCAUGACCUGCUUCCACCUUGGGUGCUGACGUCUGGAUGAGAGGAACAUGGUGGCGCCUGAAAAAUCUGGAGACACCAGAAACCCUGGAUCCCCAAAGGAAGUGUUAUUCCCGCUGUCCGUGCUGUGGGUGUGAAGAUGUGUGCUGCACAUCCCAGUUUCCAGCACAGGACAAAGACUCAGAGAGGCACCUGCCAGGAGUCUCAGGUGAUGGAACCCAGUGGCGGGCAUGUGGGCAGCUGCCCCAGGUGGAAGGGAUCGUGGCACAGCUCUUGGUUCCCCAGGCUGGCCCUGACCUUCGUGCUUUCCUGCCCAUGGCCCAGACUUCCGAGCUCCAUGUUGGGGAUGCUCAGGGACAACCCUUCAGCCUCCCCCACCAUGUCCCGGCUACUGCCCAGGAUUCUUGUUCUCUGGAGGGUGGAUCCAGCCCUCCCCAUCUUGGUGCCCUACCAGGGCCAGGCUUCCCAUGGCUCUUUCUGCAGCCCCUGGCACAGACUGUGGGGCGCACAGCCCGGGGAGCAGUGGGCCUUGGAGGGGCCAGGUCUGCAUGUUCCCACCCCCAUCAUGGAGUUUGACACACCAGUGGGCAGGUAACUCAAUCCCCCCUCACCUUCUCUUCAUCUGUUAGGGGUGACAGGGUGCUCCCCGUGGGGCCAAGAGGAUGCAGCACCCCCACCGGCUACCCUUCCGGCCACACCCUUCUCUCCUGGCCCACCUUCUGAGCUGGCAGGGCUUCCUUCCUGGCUUCUGCUGGGCAGUGUAUUAGGGUCCUCUAGAGAGACAAAACCAAUAAUGGAGUUUAGGAGAGGGGAUUUUUAUUUGUUUGAGACAGAGUCUUGCCCUGUCACCCAGGCUGGAGUGCAGUGGCUCGAUCUCGGCUCACUGCAACCUCUACCUCCCAGGUUGAAGUGAUUCUCCUGCUUCAGCCUCCCGAGUAGCUGGGAUUACAGGCACCCAGCACCACACCCAGCUACUUUUUGUACUUUUAGUAGAGACGGGGGUCUCACCAUGUUGGCCAGGCUGGUCUUGAACUCCUGACCUCAGGUGAUCCACCUACCUCUGCCUCCCAAAAUGCUGAGAUUACAGGGGAGAGCUACCGCGCCCGGCCAGGAGAGGGGAUUUAUUAGGCGAACUGGCCCACACACUUAUGGAGGCUGAGAAGUCCUCCCAUAGGCUGUCUGCAAGCUGGAGACCUAGAGAAGCUGUAAGUGAGGCUCAGUCCAGGUAAGAAGGUGGUUGAACCAAGGAAGCCAGUGGUGUAACUCUCAUUCUGAGGCUGACUGGCCGAGAGCCCUGGGAGGCCUCUGUGGCAAGCCUGAGUCCAAAGGCCGAAGAACCUGGAGUCCUGAUGUCCAAGGGCAGGAGAUGGGUGUCUCCCUCCAGAAAAGAGAAUUUGCUUGUCUUCUCCCUUUGUGUUCCAUCUGGGUCCCCAACCAAGUGGAUGUGCCUGCCCACGCUGAGGGCAGAUCUUCACUGAGUCCACUGAAAACAUCCUCACACACUCAGAAACAAUGCUUCGCCAGCUGCCAAGUACAGUGUGUGUGCCUUAGUCCCAGCUACUCAGGAGGCUAAGGUGGGAGAAACGCUUGAGCCUGGGAGCUGGAGGCUGCAGUAAGCCAUGAUUGUGCCAUUGCACUCCAGGCUGGCUGACAGAGAGAUCCUGCCUCAAAAAAAGAGAUAGAUAGAUAGAUAGAUAGAUAGAGCUCCACCAGCCAUCUAGGCUUUUUUUUUUUAAACAGGGUGUCACUCUGUCAACCAGGUUGGAGUGCCGUGGUGCUAUCAUAGCUCACUGCAGCCUUGACUUCCCAGGCUCAACCCAUCCUCCCACCUCAGCCUCCUGAGUAGCUGGGACUACAGCGUACAGGCACAGACCACGAUACCUGACUUAUUUUUAAAUUUUUUGUAGAGAAGUUUCACCAUGUUGCCCAAGCUGGUCUCAAACUCCUGGGCUUAAGCAAACCUCCCACCUCAGCCUCCCAAAGUGAUGGGAUUACAGGCAGGAGACAUGGCAGCCAGCUAAGGCUCCCUGUACCCUGUUAGUCGGCUUUACAGCACCUGGAAUUGACCG